ACUAAAUCUUGUUUUCUCUGUACAUAUCUCAAAAUUUUAGCAUCAAAAGUCUUGCUCUGUGAUUUUCACCGUGAAAAAGCAUGAACUGAAUGGACCAGUAAAAAAGACCACAAUGUGUAUGAUUUUCGGAAGACCAUCUUGAGCAUGCUUCGUAAAAUAGCACUUGCUCGAACUAUGGAUGAACAUCAAAAUUCUCUUAAAAAUCUGAUGGAAUCAAAAAUUUGGAAGACAUGCAGUGCCCUGAGGCACUGAUUUUCAAACAAGUGGCUACCUGAAAUAGAGAAAUGGGCACAUGUUUACAGAACUGGAGAACUACAGAUUGCAAUACAUACAAAUAAUGGCUUUGAAAGGCAAAAUGAAGUUUUAAAACACACAUAUAUGGAAGGAUAUAAAAACGGUACACUCAGUGAACUGUUAAUAGUUCUUCAUAACCAUUUCUUCCCAAAUGCACACAAAAAAUACAUCCAGCUAAAUGUACAAAGCUGUGAGACCUACAGAAAAUAUAACAAAGACAUUACGGAUUUUCUGAGAAAUCGGCCAAGAGACUUUGGGGCUGAUUUACUUACCCACGAACGGGUCGAAUGGAGUCCGAUUGCGUUUUUUUCGUAAUG